rnacentral:rRNA from 1 species
GUCGGAGGCUGCCAGCGUUAUCCGGAAUUAUUGGGCGUAAAGCGUUCGCAGGUGGCUGUUCAAGUCUGCUGUCAAAGACCGGGGCUUAACCCCAGAAAGGCAGUGGAAACUGAACGGCUGGAGUGCAGUAUGGGUAGAGGGAAGUCCCAGUGUAGCGGUGAAAUGCGUAGAGGUUGGGAAGAACACCGGUGGCGAAAGCGCUCUGCUGGACUGCAACUGACACUGAGGGACGAAAGCUAGGGGAGCGAAAGGG